UGAGGAACAUGACUUUCGGCGGGGGAUAGCCGGCCCAACGGCCGGGUAAAACCGCGUACGACCACUUUGGGACAUCCCUAGGUGGUGGAAGCAGCAAUGCGCCGAUGGAGUGCCUCGCGGCCUAUCAGCUAGUUGGUGAGGUAACGGCUCACCAAGGCGACGACGGGUAGCUGGUCUGAGAGGAUGGCCAGCCACAGUUGGGACUGAGACACGGCCCAGACCUCCGUACGGGGAGNAGCG
rnacentral:rRNA from 1 species